GUAAGGUUUACCUUCAUGUUAAAACAAUGCAAUUUUGCCAGGAAGGAUCUUGGACACUGCUGUUUUGGUUGAAGAGCACUACGGCCAUGGCUGAAUGCAACGUAGAUGGCAAUUUAAUCGCACUUAUAUUACGCUCUUUGGAUAUUUCAUCAUCUAAUGAGUCACUGGAACUGAGAACAUCUCCAUUUUGGCAGUCUUUCUUUCUCCAUCCUUUCCACUUUUUUUUCUAUCGUUUCUCGUCAUCCUGUAUUUGAUUAUGGGGUGAUAUGUGUUCUGAAUGUAGUUCCUGUCCUAUGUGCUAUGUCCUUUGGCAGUGAAAAUAAGCAUCUUGAAGUCUUUAGAAUAUGCACAAGGUUAUGUGCCAGAAAAAAAAAAAACGAAAGUGGUGAAUUAAUUUUUUUGACUGUGACUCCUAAUUGCAACACCCUUACAAUUCCUGGAACUUGAGAAACCACACUUUGCAUUUAUGGAGAAAACUGUGGGAAAAUGGGUUGGGUGAAAUUCUGUUUUAUUUAUGCCUUUAUCUGUUUGUUGUUAACCCACAAAGUGAUCUAAUCCAAAUGGACACUUUUUAGGCAUGACCCAGAUGUCCAUAAAUAAAUAGAUAUAGAUUA